UACGGAGGAUGCGAGCGUUAUCCGGAUUUAUUGGGUUUAAAGGGGGCGUAGGCGGACGCUUAAGUCAGCGGUAAAAUUGCGGGGCUCAACCUCGUCGAGCCGUUGAAACUGGGUGCCUUGAGUGGGCGAGAAGUACGCGGAAUGCGUGGUGUAGCGGUGAAAUGCAUAGAUAUCACGCAGAACUCCGAUUGCGAAGGCAGCGUACCGGCGCCCAACUGACGCUGAAGCACGAAGGCGUGGGUAUCGAGCAGG
rnacentral:rRNA from 1 species